AGUGAACGCUGGCGGCAGGCCUAACACAUGCAAGUCGAGCGGCAGCGCGGGGGCAACCCUGGCGGCGAGCGGCGGACGGGUGAGGAAUUCGUCGGAAUCUGCCUUUUUGUGGGGGAUAACGUAGGGAAACUUACGCUAAUACCGCAUACGUCCUACGGGAGAAAGUGGGGGACCGCAAGGCCUCACGCAGAAAGAUGAGCCGACGACCGAUUAGCUAGUUGGUGGGGUAAAGGCCCACCAAGGCGACGAUCGGUAGCUGGUCUGAGAGGAUGAUCAGCCACACUGGGACUGAGACACGGCCCAGACUCCUACGGGAGGCAGCAGUGGGGAAUAUUGGACAAUGGGCGCAAGCCUGAUCCAGCCAUGCCGCGUGUGUGAAGAAGGCCUUCGGGUUGUAAAGCACUUCUGUCCGGAAAGAAAUCCCUGGAGCUAAUACCUUCGGGGGAUGACGGUACCGGAAGAAUAAGCACCGGCUAACUUCGUG
rnacentral:rRNA from 1 species